rnacentral:tRNA from 1 species
GCCCCGGUCGUUUAGCGGCCCAGGACACCGCCCUUUCACGGCGGCAGCACCGGUUCGAAUCCGGUCCGGGGCA